rnacentral:lncRNA from 1 species
CUCUUCCCAGAUAGCGGCGGAGGCGAAAGCGCCACCCCCUGCUCCGGUGACGUCGCCCUUGCCCGCUCCGGCGACGUCGCCGGCGACGAGCCUACCUCCCCCGCCUUGGCCUCUCCCCCGACCCCUCUUCCUACCGCGCCCUCGCCCAAGCCCUCUGUCGCCGCCUCCCUGCUCGAGGACAAGCUCCACCGCGGCCUCCUUCUUCCUCCUCCUUCUCCAUUGGCGUGCCAAUGCGAGACGAAGACGAAGGAAUGCGGACUCGGCCCGGAGCCCGUCGGAGUCGCAGGGGAGGAGCGUGGAGAGGUGGGCGGCGCCGCCGAGCCGCGCGGCGAGCUCGUGGUUCUCAACGCGGAGGCGCGUGAGGUGGCUCCAGAGCUUCUCGAGGUGGAAGAAUGAGGAAGAAAAAAAAAAGAGAAUAAACGGAGGGGAAAAAGGAAAAAGAAAAAAAAAGAAGAGAAUAAACGGAGGGAAAGAAGGAGGAAGAAGAAGAGAAUAAAAAAUAGUGUAAAUUUCACACAAAUAGUGCAACAUUUGCCUAAAAAGUGUAAUUUUUGUCAUCCCAAAUAGUGUAAAUUUCAUCCAAAUAGUGCAACGUUCGCCUAAAAAGUACAACUCUCGUCCCAAAGAGUGUAAAUUUUAUCUCAAAUAGUAUAAAUUUUAUAUAAAACAGUGCAAUUUUUUUUUAAAAUUGCACUCUUUGAGACAGAACUGCACUGUUUUGGUGAAAUUUGUAAAUUUUAUAUAAAACAGUGCAUUUUUUUUUUAAAUUGCACUCUUUGAGACAGAACUGCACUGUUUGGGUGAAAUUUACACCAUUUCUCUUUUUUCACCACGGAUGUGGG